rnacentral:lncRNA from 1 species
GAGUGGGUUACGCAUUUGUGGAAAAUGGACUAGUGGUUUACUUAUAUGGACAUGAGCAAUGCUCCCCCAAUGAGCUUGCUUUUGGGGUUAAGUUAGACCUAGGUGCCAUAUUUUCACAACAUCUUUACAAUAAUAAUAAAAAUGAAACAUUAGAAACACAAGAAAUGUUAAAGUAGCUCUACCAGUAGCAUCUAAAUGCACCUCUCCCAACCACCUGUUGGACCACAAUUGCUGGAAUAAAUUGGCUUCACCAUUUGUUAGUUUUGUGUCCACAAGAACAAUGAUAUCAGCCCCCAGUGUAAUAUGUAAUAGUAUAUUUCUUUAUAAACUUCUUUUGUUCUCCCAGUUUAAACCCUUCACAUUCCAUGAAAGAAUUUUGGUCUUCAUUGAUCGUUGACUGGUAUUAAUUAUUAUCCCUCUGUUCCUUGGUUCUCCAUCUUUAAACUUCAUGUCGAAAACUAGAUUUCUAACCUCCUCAGAGAUUGUUGUUUUGCUGGUAACAUCAUGGAUAUUCGCUUCUUUCUGUGUCACACCUCACUUCUGAAAGCAAACGGCACAUGGCCGAUUGUUUUCUCUCCCAGUUUUGCUUUAAUAUUAAUUGUGAAAGGUUCAGCAGUUAAAGGUCCUUUUUCCUUACUUUUGGUUAGUGAGAUGCCAACUAUCUUUUGUAGAGUCAACCCACUUUGGUCUGGCCCAGAGUUUUUUAAAAGAAACUCUUUAUUUACCCAUGCAGUGAGCACAAAGCGAACUAUUAGCUUUCACCUUUAACUUGAUUCCUCUCUGUCAUGUACACGGCUGUUGAUUGAUUUAAACAGAGUCUAGACACAUUUCAUGAGCCUAAAUGACAUGGAAAUUACAAAAUUGAAGUCCGUCAUCAAACAAAAAUAUAGAAGCAUACUGUAACCAAAAUUGUGGUAUGUUCACAUGAUUCGGUUUCUCUCUUGAAUUUCACCCCUACCGGCUCCACCCACCCCCGGAAAAAUAUCUGCAAACGGGUUAAUCUAAAGUGUAUAUUAGCCCAAAAGCUUUAAUCGCACAUCCAAUUGAAUGGUCUUUUCAG